rfam:Rattus norvegicus chromosome 2, whole genome shotgun sequence.
GGAGAGAUGGCUCAGUGGUUAAGAGCACUGGUUGCUCUCCCAGAGAUUCUGAGUUCAAAUCCCAGCACCA